UACGUAGGGUCCGAGCGUUGUCCGGAAUUACUGGGCGUAAAGAGCUCGUAGGCGGUUUGUCGCGUUGUCCGUGAAAACUCACAACUCAAUUGUGGGCGUGCGGGCGAUACGGGCAGACUAGAGUACUGCAGGGGAGACUGGAAUUCCUGGUGUAGCGGUGGAAUGCGCAGAUAUCAGGAGGAACACCGGUGGCGAAGGCGGGUCUCUGGGCAGUAACUGACGCUGAGGAGCGAAAGCGUGGGGAGCGAACAGG
rnacentral:rRNA from 1 species